rnacentral:rRNA from 1 species
GAUAGCUGGUUUUCCGCGAAAACUAUUUAGGUAGUGCGUUGAAUAAAUAGAUGUUUAGAGGUAGAGCACUAAAUGGGCUAGGGGGAAGAGAUUCUUACCAAACCUAAUAAAACUCCGAAUGCUAGACAUUGUUCUUCAACAGACAGACUGUGGGUGCUAAGGUCCAUGGUCGAGAGGGAAAGAGCCCAGACCACCAGAUAAGGUCCCAAAAUUAUGAUUAAGUGUGAAAGGAUGUGGAAAUUCCUUAACAGCCGGGAGGUUGGCUUAGAAGCAGCCAUCCUUUAAAGAUAGCGUAACAGCUCACCGGUCUAAUAGAGUUUCUGCGCCGAAGAUGUAACGGGGCUAAAAUCAUAUACCGAAUCUGUGGGUUUAUAAAACUUUCGAGUUUUAUAAGCGGUAGCGGAACGUUCUGUAAGCCUGUGAAGGAGUACCCGUGAGGGACUCUGGAGGUAUCAGAAGUGCGAAUGCUGACAUAAGUAACGAUAAAAGAAGUGAAAAACUUCUUCGCCGAAAAUCCAAGGGUUUCUGCGCAAGGUUAAUCCGCGCAGAGUUAGUCGGCACCUAAGGCGAGGGCGAAAGCCGUAGUCGAUGGAAAUAAGGUUAAUAUUCCUUAACCAGAUGGUAGUGACGGAUCUUGUAAGUUGUGUACUCUUAAUGGAUUGAGUAUGCCGCGAAAAGGUUCCAAGAAAUAGCUCCAUCAUUAGACCGUACCCUAAACCGACACAGGUGGAUUAAUAGAGUAUAUUUAGGCGCUUGAGAGAAUGAUGUUGAAGGAACUCGGCAAAAUGCUUCCGUAACUUCGGGAUAAGGAAGACCCUCCUGUAGGCAACUAUGGAAGGGUGGCACAAGCCAGGGAGAAGCGACUGUUUAUCAAAAACACAGGGCUCUGCUAACACGUAAGUGGAUGUAUAGGGUCUGACGCCUGCCCGGUGCUGGAAGGUUAAUGCGGUUGGUGCAAGCUAACUUCUGAAGCCCCAGUAAACGGCGGCCGUAACUAUAACGGUCCUAAGGUAGCGAAAUUCCUUGUCGGGUAAGUUCCGACCUGCAUGAAUGGCGUAACGAUUUCUCCGCUGUCUCCAACAUCAACUCAGUGAAAUUGAAUUCUCCGUGAAGAUGCGGAGUUCGCGUAGUUAGACGGAAAGACCCCGUGCACCUUUACUGCAACUUUACAUUGGUGUUAGGAAAAACAUAUUUAGCAUAGGAGGGAGACAUUGAAGCAAAGGCGUCAGCUUUUGUGGAGUCACCAGUGAAAUACCUCUUUUGUUUUUCUUGAUAUCUAACUGAUUGCCGUCAUCCGGCAUCAAGACAUUGUAUGGUGGGUAGUUUGACUGGGGCGGUCGCCUCCCAAAUAGUAACGGAGGCGUGCGAAGGUAGGCUCAGAACGGUCAGAAAUCGUUCGUAGAGUGCAAUGGCAUAAGCCUGCCUGACUGUGAGACUGACAAGUCGAGCAGAGACGAAAGUCGGUCAUAGUGAUCCGGUGGUUCUGAGUGGAAGGGCCAUCGCUCAACGGAUAAAAGGUACGCC